GGAAGUAAAAGUCGUAACAAGGUCUCCGUAGGUGAACCUGCGGAGGGAUCAUUACAAGUGACCCCGGUUUGCCACCGGGAUGUUCAUAACCCUUUGUUGUCCGACUCUGUUGCCUCCGGGGCGACCCUGCCUUCGGGCAGGGGCUCCGGGUGGACACUUCAAACUCUUGCGUAACUUUGCAGUCUGAGUAAACUUAAUUAAUAAAUUAAAGCUUUUAACAACGGAUCUCUUGGUUCUGGCAUCGAUGAAGAACGCAGCGAAAUGCGAUAAGUAAUGUUAAUUGCAGAAUUCAGUGAAUCAUCGAAUCUUUGAACGCACAUUGCGCCCCCUGGUAUUCCGGGGGGCAUGCCUGUUCGAGCGUCAUUUCACCACUCAAGCCUCGCUUGGUAUUGGGCAACGCGGUCCGCCGCGUGCCUCAAAUCGACCGGCUGGGUCUUCUGUCCCCUAAGCGUUGUGGAAACUAUUCGCUAAAGGGUGUUCGGGAGGCUACGCCGUAAAACAACCCCAUUUCUAAGGUUGACCUCGGAUCAGGUAGGGAUACCCGCUGAACUUAAGCAUAUCAAUAAGCGGAGGA
rnacentral:sRNA from 1 species